CGCACAUUGCGCCCCUUGGUAUUCCAUUGGGCAUGCCUGUUCGAGCGUCAUUUACACCCUCAAGCGCAGCUUGGUGUUGGGCGUUUGUCUGUAUCUUAGCGUACGGACUCGCCUUAAAGGUAUUGGCAGCGGCUCCUGUCGGCUUCUUUGCGCAGCACUUGCGCUUCUCGAAGUAUUGAUAAGGGCUAGCGUCCACUAAAGAACCCCCCCAGUUUGACCUCGAAUCAGGUAGGGAUACCCGCUGAACUUAA
rnacentral:misc_RNA from 1 species